rnacentral:lncRNA from 1 species
GAGAAAACUCUAGAAUUCUCAGAAAAAAGGGGAAAGCAAACACAAUCCAUGAAUGCAAAAAAUAAUGAAAAAUUCAAUAAAGCUACAUAUAAUUCGAGAAGAACGGAUGGAUGGGAUGAGAAACGGAUACCUCUGGGUGUGGGUUUCUUUGAGAAAAUGUUCAUCUUCUUGAAAAAAACGAAGAUGAGGAUCGGGGAUUUGGUGGCGCAAGAUCGAAGACGAGAAGAAGAAGCUUGUGAUUGUGAUCUGUGGAGAUCCGGAGAAAAAAUCCUAUCUAUUUUGUGUGAGAAGGAAUUUUACGAUUGACUCGAGAAACAUUAGGAAGGCGAGGUGAGCUGUUAAUACACCGCGGAAAGGAAGAGUGGCCCCCCCAAGAGAACGAAGACUAACGCGGUUGGAGCUUCCGAGAUGCCGUGCUGGUCCUGGAUUACUAGAUCAGCUGCGA